rnacentral:rRNA from 1 species
ACCCGCUGAAUUUAAGCAUAUAACUAAGCGGAGGAAAAGAAACUAACGAGGAUUCCCUUAGUAACUGCGAGUGAAAGGGGAAAAGCCCAACGCUGAAUCCUUCAGCCACUGGCUGCUAGGAAUUGUAGCGUAUAGGUGCGACUGUCCGUUCGUUUCGUGCACCCAAAGUCCCCUUGAGCGGGGCUAUAGUCCAAAGAAGGUGCUAGACCUGUACGGGUGGCGAAGCGAACGGUUGGUUGCUCCUUGGAGUCGGGUUGCCUGGGAUCGCAGCCCAAAGUUGGUGGUAGACCUCAUCUAAGGCUAAAUAUGGCCACGAAACCGAUAGCAAACAAGUACCGUGAGGGAAAGUUGCAAAGAACUUUGAAGAGAGAGUUCAAGAGGGCGUGAAACCGUUGAGAUUGAAACGGAUAGAGUUAACGAAACUCGGCUGCAUUCAUCCGAUCGGCCUAAUGGAUCAAUAGCGUUCGCAUCCUCGAUGAGGGCAACGUUAUCGUUAACUAUUGGGUAAUUGAUCGGUGUAUUUGCGGCUGGUAUGCGCUGAGAGUUUUGUGAUCGCAUGUUAACGGGUGUGCAGUGGACCAUUCCUUCCGGGUGUGGAAACCUUCACAUCUUUAGGCAUGUCGAUUAUAAAGUUUUGAACGUGGCGUCUCCGCUAUUGUGCGUCGACUUAUGCGUACUAUUGUGAUUAUUGAAUAUUCGCAUGCGAAUAUUUGUAGUUAACGAUAUUGCGACAAAAGUGCGGACGCGUUGAGACGUGUAUCUCGGUGUGAACGUUGACCACCUAUCCGACCCGUCUUGAAACACGGACCAAGGGGUCUAGCAUAUGCGCGAGUCAUUGGGUGGUAAACCUAAGGGCGUAAUGAAAGUAAAAGUCACCUCGAUGUGGCCGAUAUGGGAUCCGGAUAACUUACGAGCCAUUCGGCGCACCAUAGCCCCGUCCCCAUUGCUUGCAAUAGGGCGGAGGUAGAGCGCAUAUGCUGGGACCCGAAAGAUGGUGAACUAUGCCUGAGCAGGAUGAAGCCAGAGGAAACUCUGGUGGAAGUCCGAAGCGGUUCUGACGUGCAAAUCGAUCGUCUGACUUGGGUAUAGGGGCGAAAGACUAAUCGAACCAUCUAGUAGCUGGUUCCCUCCGAAGUUUCCCUCAGG